rnacentral:tRNA from 1 species
UGGGGGGUAGUCCAAUAGUAGAGCAACUGCCUAGUGUGCAGGAGGACCUGAGUUCCAUCCCCAGCACCCCAA